CCUACGGGUGGCAGCAGUGGGGGAUAUUGCACAAUGGGGGAAACCCUGAUGCAGCGACGCCGCGUGAGUGAAGAAGUAUUUCGGUAUGUAACGCUCUAUCAGCAGGGAAGAAAAUGACAGUACCUGACCAAGAAUCCCCGGCUCACUCCGUGCCAGCCGCCGCGGUCAUACGUAGGGGGCAAGCGUUAUCCGGAUUUACGGGGUGUAAAGGGGGCGUAGACGGUUAUGUAAGUCUGGAGUGAAAGCCCGGGGCCCAACCCCGGGACUGCUUUGGAAACUGUGUAACUGGAGUACAGGAGGGGCAGGCGGAAUGCCGGGUGUAGCGGUGAAAUGCGUAGAUAUCAGGAGGAACACCGGCGGCGAAGGCGGCCUGCUGGACUGAAACUGACGUUGAGGCUCGAAAGCGUGGGGAGCAAACAGGAUUAGAUACCCGAGUAGUC
rnacentral:rRNA from 1 species